rnacentral:rRNA from 1 species
CCUACGGGUGGCAGCAGUGAGGAAUAUUGGUCAAUGGGCGCGAGCCUGUACCAGCCAAGUCGCGUGAGGGAUGACGGCCCUACGGGUUGUAAACCUCUUUUGCCGGGGAGCAACGGGCGCCACGUGUGGCGCCACUGAGGGUACCCGGAGAAAAAGCAUCGGCUAACUCCGUGCCAGCAGCCGCGGUAAUACGGAGGAUGCGAGCGUUAUCCGGAUUCAUUGGGUUUAAAGGGUGCGCAGGCGGGCCUUUAAGCCGGCGGUGAAAUCGCGGGGCUCAACCCCGCCGAGCCGUCGGAACUGGGGGCCUUGAGUGCGGCGGAGGCAUGCGGAAUGCGCGGUGUAGCGGUGAAAUGCAUAGAUAUCGCGCAGAACCCCGAUUGCGAAGGCAGCGUGCCGUGCCGCCACUGACGCUGAGGCACGAAAGCGCGGGGAUCGAACAGGAUUAGAUACCCUUGUAGUC